rnacentral:ncRNA from 1 species
GGAGAACCCUCACCUGUUUGAGCUGAUGAUAUAUACUAUUCGUUUAACCCAAGACGAGAAUCAGUUGAUGCAUCCGUACUGAUAUAUAUUGAAUGAGCCAAAGGGAAUCCGGUUACAAUUCCGGAGCCUGUUGAGUAUACGUUUGCAUUGGCGUCCCCAUACCGGCAACGGUAGCGCCUUUGUAAUCAUGGCAACAUGAAUCCUUUUCUUCGAGAAGCCAACAAGAGAUAUCGGAAGAGUUCUCUUUUCUGUUUUACAGUCACACUAGCCAUGGAAGUCUUUCAUAGAGAGAUAUGGUUGGACAGGCUGGUAGAGCAUGGUAUUAAAUUGCUGUGUCGAUAUUCUCUUCUUGGUACCUUGAAAAUCGAAGACUGUGGUCACGCAAACUCUCAACAGCUUGUACCGAAUCCGCAGCAGGUCUCC